rnacentral:rRNA from 1 species
UACGAGAGGUGCAAGCGUUAUUCGGAUUAAUUGGGUGUAAAGGGCGCGUAGACGGCGUGUUAGGUUUGUUGUUAAAUUCUCCGGCUUAACUGGAGACAUGCAGCAAAUACUGGCAUGCUAGAGGAUGGAAGAGAGAAGUGGAAUUCUCGGAGUAGCGGUAAAAUGCGUAGAUCUCGAGAGGAACACCGAUGGCGAAGGCAGCUUCUUGGUCCAUUCCUGACGUUGAGGCGCGAAAGCGUGGGGAGCAAACGGG